AGCAGCAGCCGCGGGAAAACCAGCACCUCGAGUGGUCAGGAGGUUUAUUGGGCCUAAAGCAUCCGUAGCCGGUUGCAUAAGUUUUCGGUUAAAUCUAUGCGCUUAACGUAUAGGCCGCCGAAAAUACUGUGCAGCUAGGGAGUGGGAGAGGUACACGGUACUCGAUAGGAAGGGGUAAAAUCCUUUGAUCUAUUGAUGACCACCUGUGGCGAAGGCGGUGUACCAGAACACGUUCGACGGUGAGGGAUGAAAGCUGGGGGAGCAAACCGGAUUAGAUACCCCGGUAGUCCCUGUCUCUUAUAC
rnacentral:rRNA from 1 species